ACGAAACAAAAGCAAAAUUUACUACAUAUGAAAUGUGUCUAUAGAAAACAAAUCCUAUUAUCUUAUACAAAACUAUAUGAUAUUUCAAUUUACAUGUGGUAUGAUUUAACAGAAAAUUAUAAAUAAAUAGAGUUGAUAUAUUCUAGGUAUCAAACCUACUACUUCUAGGUAUCAAACCUACUACUAGCUAUAUCUGCAGAGAAGGAUUAUGACCCAGUUUCAAUAAUAAGUUCAGCAGCUGCACCCAUUGUACCAACUCCACCAAGUCCUAGCAAGUCUAGAGCAAGUUGUUCCUCAUUCCAUUGCCUCAAUCCCUU
rnacentral:lncRNA from 1 species